rnacentral:rRNA from 1 species
AGACGAACCGUCCAAACGUUAUUAGGAAUUACCGGGCUUAAAGGGUGCGUAGGCGGCGCGGUAAGUUGGGUGUGAAAUCCCUCGGCUCAACCGAGGAAUGGCGCCCAAUACUGCCGUGCUCGAGGGAGACAGAGGUGAGCGGAACUGAUGGUGGAGCGGUGAAAUGCGUUGAUAUCAUCAGGAACACCAGUGGCGAAGGCGGCUCACUGGGUCUCUUCUGACGCUGAGGCACGAAAGCUAGGGGAGCAAACGGGAUUAGAAACCCCAGUAGUCC